GGACCGGAGUGGACGCAUCACUGGUGUUCGGGUUGUCAUGCCAAUGGCACUGCCCGGUAGCUAAAUGCGGAAGAGAUAAGUGCUGAAAGCAUCUAAGCACGAAACUUGCCCCGAGAUGAGUUCUCCCUGACCCUUUAAGGGUCCUGAAGGAACGUUGAAGACGACGACGUUGAUAGGCCGGGUGUGUAAGCGCAGCGAUGCGUUGAGCUAACCGGUACUAAUGAACCGUGAGGCUUAACCUU
rnacentral:rRNA from 1 species